rnacentral:lncRNA from 1 species
AAACACACAACCACCCACACACGCACACACAGGACUGUUGGGGCACAUGGUAGUGUUGGGGUAACAUGAAAACAUGCACACACACGGCCACAGAACUAUUCGGGUAUAUGUUGGUGUUGGGGUAACAUAAGACACAGAGACACACAGACAGACAGAGACAGAGAGACACACACUCACACACACAGAGUCACACAGAGUCACACAGAGUCACACACAGAGGCACAGAGACACACAUACAUAAACAGAGACACACACAGUCAAACGCACACAAAGACAGACACACACAGUCAAACACACACUAGUACAGAGACACACACAUACACACAAAGACAGAGACACACACACAUACACACAUACACACAUACACACAUACACACAUACACACAGACAUACUCACACACAUAAACCUGCCUGUCAUGCAUUAUUCUUCUACAUCAUAUCCUGUCAGCCAGCCAAACAACUCAUUUCCGAAUGGGUGGGUG